UACGUAGGGGGCUAGCGUUGUCCGGAAUCAUUGGGCGUAAAGAGCGUGUAGGCGGCCCGGUAAGUCCGCUGUGAAAGUCGGGGGGCUCAACCCUCGAAUGCCGGUGGAUACUGUCGGGCUAGAGUGCGGAAGAGGCGAGUGGAAUUCCUGGUGUAGCGGUGAAAUGCGCAGAUAUCAGGAGGAACACCAAUUGCGAAGGCAGCUCGCUGGGACGUAACUGACGCUGAGACGCGAAAGCGUGGGGGAGCAAACAGG
rnacentral:rRNA from 1 species